rnacentral:lncRNA from 1 species
UUUUUUUGGCUUUUAAAACGUGAAGACAAUCAGAUAGGAUGACAAUCUUAUGUUAUGGAAUAAUAUCAGUCAAAUUAAAGAAAGUGUAGUAGAUCAUAUUGUUCAGAAUCUGGAAAACGGUAUCUUUUGAAGUUCAUUUUUCAAAGCCCACGUGGUGUUCAGAGAAUCAAGGUCAAAAACGAAAGUAGAAUAUUGUCGACUCGACCUCAAAUAAAUAACAUUUCCAAAUGAUUUAUGUAUCAGACUUAUUGAACAGUUUACAAAAAAAAAGAAAAUCAGAGGAUAUAUCAAUUUUCUGUCAAUGCUUGAGAAAUAAUUGUAUGAUUUAAAUACGCGUAACAGUCUUUAGAAAGAAAAGGGGG